UUUUCAUACACAUGCAGCUAG
rnacentral:misc_RNA from 1 species